AGGGCUCAGUGGCAGGGCCUCUGCUCUGCAUGGAGAAGGACCCAGGUUCAAUCCCUGCCAUCUCUA